AUUGAACGCUGGCGGCAGGCUUAACACAUGCAAGUCGAGCGAGUGGCGGACGGGUGAGUAAUGUCUGGGAAACUGCCUGAUGGAGGGGGAUAACUACUGGAAACGGUAGCUAAUACCGCAUACCAUCAGAUGUGCCCAGAGGGGAGUAGCUAGUGGGUGGGGUAAGGGCUCACCUAGGCGACGAUCCCUAGCUGGUCUGAGAGGAUGACCAGCCACACGGGAACUGAGACACAGUCCAGACUCCUACGGGAGGCAGCAGUGGGGAAUAUUGCACAAGGGGCGCAAGCCUGAUGCAGCCAUGCCGCGUGGGUGAAGAAGGCCGUCGGGGUGUAAAGCAAUUUCAGCGGGGAGGCGUUACCCGCAGAAGAAGCACCGGCUAACUCCGUGCCAGCAGCCGCGGUAAUUC
rnacentral:rRNA from 1 species